GAUGAACGCUGGCGGCGUGCCUAAUACAUGCCAGUCGAGCGAACAGAUGAGGAGCUUGCUCCUCUGACGUUAGCGGCGGACGGGUGAGUAACACGUGGAUAACCUACCUAUAAGACUGGGAUAACUUCGGGAAACCGGAGCUAAUACCGGAUAAUAUAUUGAACCGCAUGGUUCAAUAGUGAAAGACGGUUUUGCUGUCACUUAUAGAUGGAUCCGCGCCGCAUUAGCUAGUUGGUAAGGUAACGGCUUACCAAGGCAACGAUGCGUAGCCGACCUGAGAGGGUGAUCGGCCACACUGGAACUGAGACACGGUCCGGACUCCUACGGGAGGCAGCAGUAGGGAAUCUUCCGCAAUGGGCGAAAGCCUGACGGAGCAACGCCGCGUGAGUGAUGAAGGUCUUCGGAUCGUAAAACUCUGUUAUUAGGGAAGAACAAAUGUGUAAGUAACUAUGCACGUCUUGACGGUACCUAAUCAGAAAGCCACGGCUAACUACGUG
rnacentral:rRNA from 1 species